UUGCAGGACAAAGCGCAUGGCGUUUUGAACGCUGCUUGCAGCGACCCCGAAGGGGCGAAGCCCAGGGAAGGGCUGAGUAAUAAGUGCAGC
rnacentral:ncRNA from 1 species